AGGUAAUAGAUACCCCAGUAGUCCUAGCCGUAAACGAUACUCGCUAGGUGUCGGCCACGGUGCGACCGUUGUCGGUGCCGUAGGGAAAGCCGUGAAGCGAGCCACCUGGGAAGUACGGCCGCAAGGCUGAAACUUAAAGGAAUUGGCGGGGGAGCACCACAACGGGUGGAGCUUGCGGUUUAAUUGGAUUCAACGCCGGAAAUCUUACCGGGACCGACAGCAACAUGAAGGCCAGGCUGAAGACUUUGCCGGAUUAGCUGAGAGGUGGUGCAUGGCCGUCGUCAGUUCGUACUGUGAAAGCAUCCUGUUAAGUCAGGCAACGAGCGAGACCCACGCCCACAGUUGCCAGCGUACUCUCCGGAGUGACGGGUACACUGUGGGGACCGCCGCUGCUAAAGCGGAGGAAGGAAUGGGCAACGGUAGGUCAGUAUGCCCCGAAUAUCCCGGGCUACACGCGAGCUACAAUGGUUGGUACAAUGGGUAUCUACCCCGAAAGGGGAUGGAAAUCUCCUAAAGCCAAUCUUAGUUCGGAUUGA
rnacentral:rRNA from 1 species